CCUACGGGAGGCUGCAGUCGAGAAUCAUUCACAAUGGGGGAAACCCUGAUGGUGCGACGCCGCGUGGGGGAAUGAAGGUCUUCGGAUUGUAAACCCCUGUCAUGUGGGAGCAAAUUAAAAAGAUAGUACCACAAGAGGAAGCGACGGCUAACUCCGUGCCAGCAGCCGCGGUAAUACAGAGGUCUCAAGCGUUGUUUGGAAUCACUGGGCGUAAAGGGUGCGUAGGCUGUUUCGUAAGUCGUGUGUGAAAGGCGCGGGCUUAACCCGCGGACGGCACAUGAUACUGCGAGACUAGAGUAAUGGAGGGGGAGCUGGAAUUCUCGGUGUAGCAGUGAAAUGCGUAGAUAUCGAGAGGAACACUCGUGGCGAAGGCGGGUUCCUAGACAUUAACUGACGCUGAGGCACGAAGGCCAGGGGAGCGAAAGGGAUUAGAUACCCGAGUAGUC
rnacentral:rRNA from 1 species